rnacentral:rRNA from 1 species
AACGUAGGUGGCAAGCGUUAUCCGGAUUCACUGGGCGUAAAGCGCACGCAGGCGGCCUGGAAAGUAGGGCAUGAAAUCUCCUGGCUUAACUGGGAGAGGUUGUCCUAUACUUCUGGGCUUGAGGAUGGGAGAGGGAAGUGGAACUGCCGGUGUAGUGGUGAAAUGCGUAGAGAUCGGCAAGAACACCAGUGGCGAAGGCGGCUUUCUGGCCCAUUCCUGACGCUCAGGUGCGAAAGCUAGGGGAG